rnacentral:lncRNA from 1 species
GCUACUCUCUCAGAGUAACUGCCACUCCCAGAGACCAACUGCCACAGAAAAACCAUUAAAAUCUCCCCCAUACACUGUCAACAUUUGAAACUGACACUCUGUCUUAGAUCUGCUUCAAACUCUAAUUCUUUCUCAAGCCAGCUUCUUCACUUCUUAUCUCUAAACUAAUAUAACAAGACUUGAUUCCUAAUAUCAUCCUUAUAUACCAGAUAAGAUGUCUCAGUUUUUUUUUAUUUUUAUGGGCUAUUUAUAAUACCUUGUUGUAAAAUUUGUGUUAAUUAUUAGUCAUAGGCUAGAUGUAGGUCAAUGUUAAGUAAAAAUGAGUUUCUAAACUUUUUCAGUGUCAUCUGCUGGCCAUGUUUUCAUCAGAGGCUAGAGAAAAGAAUGAAGGUUUUUGUUUCUUCCCCAUCCUCAGCUGAUAGGGAAGGUGAUAGCUGCCAAAUCCUCUCUUCAUGGGCUGAGAUAGAUCUGAGAUGGACAAAGAGACACACACCUCAUCCAUCAGUCAUCCACAUCUCAAGAACCACCAUGUCUUCGGGAAACCCUCUCCCCCUCCCCCUAGCUCCAGAGUUAUAUCCUCACUGUUGUAAAGCCUAUAAAAACCCCAGAAUUUGUGUCCUCUGGGGACAGCUUUUCCAUCCAUGCUGUUCCCCCUAGGAGGCAACUUUCCACCCAUGUUGCCCUCCUGACCAGAUUCAACAUUACCUUCCAAA